rnacentral:rRNA from 1 species
UACGUAGGGGGCGAGCGUUGUCCGGAUUUAUUGGGCGUAAAGAGCGUGUAGGCGGCCUGACAAGUCUGCUGUGAAAACUCGAGGCUCAACCUCGAGAUGUCGGCGGAAACUGUCUGGCUAGAGUCCGGAAGAGGAGAGUGGAAUUCCUGGUGUAGCGGUGAAAUGCGCAGAUAUCAGGAAGAACACCUAUGGCGAAGGCAGCUCUCUGGGACGGUACUGACGCUGAGACGCGAAAGCGUGGGGAGUGAACAGG